AUUGAACGCUGGCGGCAUGCUUUACACAUGCAAGUCGAACGGUAACAGGGUGCUUGCACCGCUGACGAGUGGCGAACGGGUGAGUAAUGCGUCGGAACGUGCCGAGUAGUGGGGGAUAACGCAGCGAAAGUUGUGCUAAUACCGCAUACGUACUGAGGUAGAAAGUGGGGGACCUUCGGGCCUCGCGCUAUUCGAGCGGCCGACGUCUGAUUAGCUAGUAGGUGAGGUAAAGGCUCACCUAGGCGACGAUCAGUAGCGGGUCUGAGAGGAUGAUCCGCCACACUGGGACGGAGACACGGCCCAGACUCCUACGGGAGGCAGCAGUGGGGAAUUUUGGACAAUGGGCGAAAGCCUGAUCCAGCCAUGCCGCGUGUCUGAAGAAGGCCUUCGGGUUGUAAAGGACUUUUGUCGGGGAGGAAAUCCCCAGCGUUAAUACCGCUGGGGGAUGACAGUACCUGAAGAAUAAGCACCGGCUAACUACGUGCCAGCCGCCGCGGUAAUAC
rnacentral:rRNA from 1 species